UUCCGGUUGAUCCUGCCGGACCUGACUGCUAUCGGAUUGAUACUAAGCCAUGCGAGUCAUUGUAGCAAUACAAGGCAGACGGCUCAGUAACGCGUAGUCAACCUAACCUAUGGACGGGAAUAACCUCGGGAAACUGAGAAUAAUGCCCGAUAGAACAUUAUGCCUGGAAUGGUUUAUGUUUUAAAUGAUUUAUCGCCGUAGGAUGGGACUGCGGCCUAUCAGUUUGUUGGUGAGGUAAUGGCCCACCAAGACUAUUACAGGUACGGGCUCUGAGAGGAGUAGCCCGGAGAUGGGUACUGAGACACGGACCCAGGCCCUAUGGGGCGCAGCAGGCGAGAAAACUUUGCAAUGUGCGAAAGCACGACAAGGUUAAUCCGAGUGGUUUCUGCUAAAGAAACCUUUUGUCAGUCCUAGAAACACUGAUGAAUAAGGGGUGGGCAAGUUCUGGUGUCAGCCGCCGCGGUAAAACCAGCACCUCAAGUGGUCAGGAUGAUUAUUGGGCCUAAAGCAUCCGUAGCCGGCUCUGUAAGUUUUCGGUUAAAUCUGUACGCUU
rnacentral:rRNA from 1 species